CAGAAAGUUUUGAAGAUGUUGCUGUUGAAUUUUCAAGGGAGGAGUGGGAGAUGCUGAGUGAAAAGGAGAAGAAGCUACACCAGAAAGUGAUGGUGCAGAACUUCGAUCACAUGAUAGAUGUUGGGUACAACAUCCCAG